rnacentral:antisense_RNA from 1 species
CUUCACCGAACCGAGCCAGACCGGACCGUCGGUGCGCUCCUGCCCGUAGGUGGCGAUCAGUGCCUGGGCCUC